CGAAUAUUCCCUCCGUCCGGAAAUACUUGUCAUCAAAAUGAAUAAAAGGGGAUGUACCUAGAUGUAUUUUAGUUCUAGAUACAUCCCUUUUUGUCCAUUUUGAUGACAAGUUUUUUCGGACGGAGGGAGUACAUG
rnacentral:pre_miRNA from 1 species